AUGGUAGUAGACCUAUUUUUCUGUCUAUACCCAGUAAGCAGACACAGGGAUAAGGAAGUAGGGUGAGGCUAUAACCCUUCACAUCCCAUUCACAAUGAUGCAUAUCCUUAACCAAGGCUCCACUUUCUAAAAGUCCCGUAAACUCCCCAGACAGACUGCCAACUGGAGAUCAAGGGUUCAAAUAUAUGAGCCUAAUAACAUACUCAAACCAUCAUAAAUAAGAACUUCAUAGUCUAUAACUGGGACCAGCAUAUUCCCCUGUAUUUCUAAUGGUUAAAAAAAAAAAUCAGAAACUGGAAGGUAGCUCAGCAGUUCAGAGCACAGUCUGCUCCUUCAGAGGACCAGGUUUCAACUUCAAACAGUCACAUGGUUGCUCACUACUUUCUGUACCUCCAACUUGAAAGGAUUAAGUGCCUUCAUCUCCAUGGCAACAGACAUACAGAUGAUACACACAAACACACACACACACACACACACACACACACAGAUGUCCAUAAACUCAAUAUAUCUGUUGAGAUAAAAAUAAAAUAUUGAAAUAAGAAAAUAUAAAUCAUAGACUUGCUGGUGUUACAUACAAAUCAAUAAUUAUAAUAUGAACAUAUGAUCAGGGUCACUCUGUUUAAGUUAGGCCUCAUGGAGGCCAUGCCUUCCACACAAAAUAUGAGGAAAAAAAAAGGGUGACUUAACGAAAGUCGAAGAGCAACAUCUGAGUCUCUUUUCUGUAAGCAAUAUGUUUUGCAUUUAAUCAUUUAAUCAUAACUUUUUUAAAAAGUACAAAUUUCUUGCAAAGAAAUUUGGGGACUAUGUGAAAGUUGCUGUCCAUGGUAGUGACUACAUACUGUACAUACUUUCAUGUCAUGAGAAUGCUGCACAUUUUUAUUUAAAAUUAUGUAAAAAAAAUCAGCAAUUGACAUAACCAAAAUUCUUUUCAUCAAUUAAUUUAAUGAGACAGGUUAAUAGUAAGGCAUUUGCUUGCCAUUGAAAUGCUCAAUAGGAAGUCUAGGAGCAAAUAGCUCUUCACGAAUAAAAAUGGGACAUAAAGGACAGAAACUCUUAAACAUGAAGGUGAUGGUGAAAGCAUUGCCCUGAUGUUUGUGAGACAGCAUUCUAGUGAUUUUCUGACUAGCAGGACGGUUGCCAGAUGGUGCAGAAUAAUAGUAGUGGCUGCAAAAUUUAUUGGCCAGUGAUGAACACUCUACUAUACUAAUACUGAUGAAAUGACUUCCAGUAUAAUGCUGGAGUUUGCCAAUGCUUGUGGACCCAUAGCCUUACGAAUGCAUAUCACCUCCUUUGGGUGUCUUUGUUAGAUAACUUGUUUGUUUGUUUGUCUCCUUGUUUACUUCUAAUGAAAAGUAGACCAAUCAUUCAGGAAAUAUUCUGAAGUGUGUCUUAAACCAUUUUGCAAUUGGAUUGAUGUUGAAGGUACUAUCCAACUAUAAAUUCUCAAUUGGUGUCAAAACUAAUCUAUUGUAGGUAUCAAGCAUUUCUCUCCCUCCUCUUCUUCCCUCUCCCUCUCCUUUUCAUUCUCCUUCUUCUUGUAGUUGCUUGUUUGUUUGUUUUUCUCAAGACAGGAUUUUACUCUGUAGCCUUAGCUGUCUAGAACUCACCCUGCAGACCAUGCUGACAUAAAACUCUCAUAUACUCCCCUGCCUCUGCCUUCUGAGUUCUGGGAUCAAAGGCAUGAACCACAACCAGCUGGGUGAGAUCACUCAUACCUAUUCCUUGUCUGCAUGAUGACAAGUGAAUACAAAACAUGGUGAUUUUGUUGUUGGUGGUGAUGCUGGUGGUGUUGAUGGUGGUGUUGAUGGUGGUGGUGGUUUAAUUGUCCUUUUUAUAAGAUAUAAAAGAAUCUCUGUACAUUGAGAAAUUUUAACUAUUACUAAUAAUGGAUAUGUAAAAAUACUAAAUUUGUGUUUUACUUCAAACAUAAUCUUACUGAGAUACAAAGUAUUAAUUUCUAAGACCCUAAGUAUCCCCAAAAAGAUGUGUAUAAGGUUUUGUAUAUCCUUAGCAAAAUGAUAAGUGUAACUAUUUUUUUUGAGACAGGUCCCACACUACCUCUUGAAUGAAUAACACACACAGAGCCUUUAUAUUUUGUUAUGCCUUAAUCAGCUCAAUUGCUGGGCCACUACCUAACAUCCAUGUAGUUAAUCCAACUCUCACAAAUAAUCUCGAGUUAUUACUUACUAAAUUCUAUAUUCUAUUUUGGCUUCCCUGGACCCCGAGAGCCACCCAGGUGGGCAGCAUAGACUGCAUUUAAAUUCUACAUUUGGUUUCACUUGCUCUUUCUUUGAAAGACAAUGUAAAUCAGUAUUUUUCCCCCAUAGAGUAUAUUUUCCACCAAGAAGUCAGAUGAUAUUCAGGGUUACAAAGAUAGACAACUAUAUUCAAAAUAAAACAUUAACACAUAUAUUUGCUUCUUGAUGACUAAUUUUGAAAUUUCUAGUUUUCUCAGUCAAUCUUAUUUUCAAUGCCUUUCUCAUAGAGGAAAAAAAUAGAUACUCUGAAGAUGGUCCAAGUCUCUGCUCCUGAAAGAGUUAGAAAAUAUGUUAUUAUUGUUUUAGUUGUUGUUGAUGGUGAUGAUGGUGGUGGUGAUGAUAUGCCUUUCCCAAGUAACAUGGCCUCUGAUCUUGAUUUAUAAUAUAACAAGUUUAAGUACAUAACAAUUGUAAGACAGAUCGUUGUAGAAUAGUACACUAUGGCUUAUUCUCAUGUGAAUGUGUGAUUGCCUUUCUAUGUUACUAUACAAUUUCAACUUUUGUUGUUGUUAGGAGAAAGCAUGUCUUCUCAAUAGGGAUAUUUUAUUUCUCAGAAUUUUUAUAUUAGUUUUAAUAUUUAUAUGUUGCAUCUGAUUAGCCACUGGAUAGCAAUUUUUAAAUAUCUUACCCUUAUGAUUUUUCUGGCUCCAACCCUCCCCUUUCAAUGUAUUUUCAUGAUUGUAAUAUUCCAUAUCCCUUGGUGCUGGCUGAAAUUUCAAAGCAGGAAGAUGCUGCCUUAAUUGCUGAAACAUCUGUUCCAAUUUAGCCUCUUCAGUCACUUCAGCAUUAUGAAUACCCAUGCAAGCCCAUCCCUACAUUUCUCUCUUGCACUUUGCACUAACUUGCCAUUCCUCUUGCUUCUGGGAAGCUUCUUCAUGUCAUUCAUUACUGACUUCAUUGUGUCAUUAGUCUUUCCAUGAAUGUAAUAUUGAAUCUGAGGAUAAGUUGAGACUAGUCUUUAUGUAAUAACAAAGACAUUCUACAACUCAAGGACUUAAAUAUACACUAGUAUAUCCUAUUCAGGUGUGUGUGUGUGUGUGUGUGUGUGUGUGUGUGUGUGUGUGUGACAGAAUGUAUCUGUAUACUUGGCAUAGGAUUAAAUGUACUAUUUAGCCUUAUUAUCUAUUGCUCUUCAUAGGAAGUAAUGUGACACACAUUAUUUCUAUACACCAUCUGUUUAUGCACUUCAAUAAUCUAUUUUGGCAACUGUAACUACAAUUGCUAGAAAUCAAAAUACAUUCAGAUGAGCUGUGAAAUAUUUUACAGUAGACUUCUUAAACAUGCUCAAACAAGUAGUAUUAGAGAAUUAAUUCCAUGAAAAAAUAUCAAACGAACUAAACAAUAGGGCAGUCUGUUAAUUUUUGAGAAGUAAUUUAUCUCAAAGUGGAAAAUAUGUAGAAUUAAUUUGUUUAUGAAAUUUUAUUCUUUUCUUUUCAUGUAUUGCCAGUAUAUACUAGGUUUACUAAGAUAGAAUAUUUAAACAUCAUUACAAAUUAGGAGGUUCUAAAAGAAGUCCUUCUACAACAUAAUAAUUUUUUCCUUAAACAACAAUAACAAAAUAGUAACUAAAUGGCUGGACAUAAUCAAAGAAAUAAUAAUUAGUAUCUUGAUAAAUAUUGUUUAAAGGCACUGUUUAUGAAAUACUUAAAUAUAAAAGUUUUACAGGAAGUUAUUAAAUUAAAUAUCCACCUUAAGAACAAAAACAAGAAUGUCUGGACACUUUGAAGAGUCGAAAAAGUUUGUUAUUUCUCUCCUAGCAGAAAAUGAGAUUUGACCAAGAGUCUGAGUGAAUACUACGUAUAUCAAGUCCUAUAACAUUCAAGGAAAUAUUCAGUUACCCUCCAAUUUGUUAUUAUAUGGAAUACUUUCUAAAAUAUGUUUUCAGAACUUGUUAAGUAUGAAAGUUACCCAGUAGCCAAUGCAUAAUUAAUGAGAUUGCUGAGAAUAUCAGGACAUUGACCUUAUUACAUGAAAUAUCUGUGAGUCUAUGGAGAAGCAAAGACUAAGUCAUAUCAUCUUCACUACAUGUGAAAAGGAAGUUUGAAAUUGUGAACUCUUGUAAAAUUUUACAUUUUUAUACAUUAUGCUUUUUAUUUACAUAAAUUAUCCUCAAACAUCUAUGUUUACAUAUAUAUGCAUUUCAAAACAGGUGAGUUUUUUGGCAGGAGGCCAUUUCAAUGAUAAAGGUAGAAUUAGUUUAUAAAGUAAUUUCUCAUAUGACUACUAGAAUGGGUGCCUUUCAUAAAAUAACACAUUUUAUUGUCAUAGACUUCCAAUAUUUUCAAAUUCCAGAAAGACAAUAGGAGGUUUUUUUUUAAGCAGGCCUGGUGUAUUUAUAUAUUUAGUUCACGAAAGGCACAUUUAUUUACAUUUUUCUUGUAUCUAAUAGAUGAUAGAUAGAUAGAUAGAUAGAUAGAUAGAUAGAUAGAUAGAUAUGUUAAAGGAUAUAGGAUCCAAUUUAAUGUAAGUGAUUUGCUUUGAACAGCAGAUUUUCAUUUUCUUUGAUUUGUAAGAAUAUGGAAAUAUAUCUAAAGU
rnacentral:lncRNA from 1 species